UACGAGGGGGGCGAGCGUUGUUCGGAAUUAUUGGGCGUAAAGGGUGCGUAGGCGGUUCCGCAAGUCCUGUGUGAAAUCUUCGGGCUCAACUCGAAGUCUGCACGGGAAACUGCGGGGCUUGAGUGUGGGAGAGGUGAGUGGAAUUCCCGGUGUAGUGGUGAAAUGCGUAGAUAUCGGGAGGAACACCAGUGGCGAAGGCGACUUCCUGGCCUGUUCUUGACGCUGAGGCGCGAAAGCUAGGGUAGCAAACGGG
rnacentral:rRNA from 1 species